UCGUCGUCGUCGCCCUCUUGGGCCUGGUCGAGCUUCAUCUUCGCCCCUUUGGCCUGGCCCAUAUUCGUUCUCCACUUCCUUCCGAGCGAGGAGGCUGAGGUACCGCCACCCCGCCACCGCUCCCUCUCGCAGUAAAGGCCGGGGGAGGCCGGGGGAGGCGAGUUGGCGUUCCUCUACGCGGACUGCGGCGGUGCUGCCUUGGUUCCAGAAGAGUGGUUUCCGGCUACCCACGGCGGACGAGAUCGCCGCGUCGUUGUGGCGCGAUCUCCUCCACGGUGACGGCAUCGCAGGGGGCGGAUACAUGUCGCGUAGUUGUGGAUCGAUCUCCUCCACGGCGACGACGACACAAAAGGCGGAUACGAGAGAUGUUGUGGCGAGCGACCGAGAUAUCGCAGCCACCAAAAUCACUACGACCACCGUCCAUGGCAGAGGAUGAGCAGGAUGGGGCCUGGGCGCACGAGAUCCCUCCGACCCUGCUGCCAAGAUCCCUCCGAGACCACGUCGACCGGAUCCGGUACUCACAUCACCCAGAUCUGUCCGAAUUUACCAUGCCUGCUUGUAGGUUUGUGUGUGAUCUUUACUGCGUCAUUUUUGCACUUUCGCAUCACGGAAUUACGGCCGUACUCACAUCACCCAGAUCUCAGGCACCAUAUUUCAGUUCUUAAGAUGCAAUUCUAAAUGACGUCGAGGGGCAGUAGCCUGAGAUUGAAGAAAUCAGGGCAGCAGCCUGAGCACGAACCGGAGCAGCAGCUGCAGUUCCGCUUUCCUCUCAACUCGCCUCCUCCUGUCGCCAUUCCGUCCGAUUAUGCCUCCACCUGUGAGACGGCGAGAAGCAAAGGGAAGGGCGCCAGUCGUGGCAGCGUGUCGGAGGGCCGACCAGUGGUACAGAGGACAGGCAUCAUGGUACUCCUCGCCCUUAGGCUUUCACCGACGUGUACGAGGUCCAUCCUCACUAUCUUCUGUUGCUCUUCACAUCAUACUAUUCAAUCGAGAAUCCAUUUUCUUUGAUUGAGAUCUUUAGCUGCCUGGUUGUGUGGACUCAUGUUUGGAUCUAUUUGUUCAUCACACUAGGAAAAAUAUACCACUCUAACGUCACAGAGUAUGAUUGAAUUAGUUGCCAGAUUUAUUUCUCAGUUUUGUUGGAGGAGUGAUAUGUAUAAUAUUUUGGUCACUGUACUGGUUAAUACUCCACAUAUACCAUCACACCUUUUUUUUUGCCUCAAGCAACACGAUUAAAAAUUAUGUAUGUGCUCUGAGUAAAAAUCAUGAGAUUGACAAACUAAUCUAUUGCCAGAAUUGUAAUAAAGCUCCGGUAGGCUCUAUCAAGGUAGGGAUUGUACUCUCAUUUUCUUAUUUGUGGUAAAAAAAUAUGACAAUUUAAUUGUUCGGGAAGAAUUUCAUAUAAGCUACUUUCAGUACUUCGGGCCAUUAGCUCAGACAUAACACUAUAUAUGACUUUCCUUUGAUGUUGCUAAUGAGGUAGUCUUAUCUUGGGAAUAUUUCAUGUGUUAAUUAAUAAAACAUAAUACUAUCUAGGCUUAUCCCUAGAAAAGCUUUUUCAGGAGCCCAUUUGCUGAUCUGGAGAUGGCUUGGGCCACUCACACCAAAAAGAGUCGUCUAGGCAGCCUAUCUGCAGAUAUGGACAAGAUGAUCUAGGUUAUUAUUGUGACAAAGAUAUCGUUAAGACUGCAUGAGUAGCCAAGACGCUUUGGGUUCAAAUGUCUCUCCUGAAACCAUUCUUUGUGCCGGAAAUGGCUCUGUGUCCCAGGCUAAUGGUGCUGAGCCCCUGGAAUGAGCCUUAGCCAAUGGGUGUUCUGAAUUUCUGACAAACAUAUCAGUCCUUCCGUAGAUGAGGUCAUAUCUGAGAAGACUGAUGAUGUUUCAGAGAAAAAAAAUCGAAUGCACUGACACUCAAGGUUGAACUUGGCUAUAUCACGAGGGAAAAGAUUCCAAUGGGAAUUGUUAAAAGAGAGGAAAGAGUUGACUUAACCUACAGAAACACGCUCAGUCCUGACAUGAUAUAGACGAUCCAAAUUAUUGGUGGGAUGUGCCUAAGUCUGUCGCACCUGUUAACAGGAAUUUGUUGUUGCUAUCAACAUUCUCGGGAUUGAUAAAGCUGUACCGAAAAGAAUACUGGAGCUUAUGAACAUGGAGAAACUCACCAGGGAAAAUGUUGCCACUCAUCUGCAGGAUCUCAUACACAGAGAAUAUAUCAACUGAAGGACUUGUUGUGGAGAUUAUGUCAAACAGAUCAAAUUAAGUUCAUUAUGUGGAUGCCAAAGGAUCACGAAGGAGCGUGUUAUUGAAACAUCGAGCAGUGACUUUCAUCAUCAAGGCUGCAAUGCUGAAGGCACUCAACUCAAAAUGACAGGGGGGGAGGAAUGUGUGGAGGACGUUGAGGGACUGGCAGGUGGCUUUAUACGCGUUCAUAGUUUUGAUGACGAUCAAGGUGAUGCCCUUGUAUGUCUACGUGCUAAGAUAUUGCCUUGGCCUUGUUACUGUUUUUAGUGGUAUAUGUGGGCUUGUAUUGCUCUGUAUUGGGUCAGUUAAGAGUCUUUCACUACCUAAAAUGUUCUUCUGAUCUGGAUUACUCUUAAAUCUAGAAAUGGCUACUUUCAAAUUUUAACUGUCCUAAUGAGUAAAUCCUAUUAAGUGUCCCAAAUACAUGGUUGUUAUAAUUUUCUUCUAAAACAGUUUCGAUAAUAGAUUGACCUCCACAUGUGAGAGGAUCAAAAUUUCACAUAAUAUCAUAAAGGCUAGGCUCACAAUAGGUAAGCUUUUAAUUAUUCUUUUGUGAUGUUUCUUUCAUGUUCAAUGCAGAUAUUUGGUGCCUAUGUUUUCAAAGGUCGGACUAUUAAUAUUUUUCAAUGAUGCGCAUGCCUGCCAAGUUUAGUUUAAGCAAGUAAAUGUAUGCUUGAAUAUUGAUAGUGCAAUGGUUGAUUAUUUACCAAUUCAAUUUCUAUUUUUCACCA